GGGUGGUCAGCGGCCGCUGGUGGGCCGCGCCGGUCGCGGCGGCGGCCGGAUUCGCCGGGCAGGCGGUGUCGUUCGGCUCGGCGGCCGCCACC
rnacentral:tRNA from 1 species